UGCCUGUAAUGUCUUCUUGAGACCUUGCACAAACAAUUCGUGCUGACUAAUGCCCUGUCCCAUAAUCGCUGCUCAACUUACCGAGGUGCAAAAAGACGGCAGGUCCACGUCAAUUGCAAGCCUCUCCCGUGUCGAGUGUGCUCUUUGUUCCUCAAUCUUAAUCUUAGGGCCCCUGAGCAGCGUCCUUCACUGGAUCCCCCGUUCUCUGGCCGCACGUUGGGCGCCACUUGUCCCGGCCCGCGGACAGUGCCUUGAGCCCUUUCAGUCCGAAGUAUAUUCCUCUGUAUUUGGUGUUUUUUCCUGCCUGGGAGACGUCAUUAGUUUUUCUCUACAGAGUACAUUUUACCUGUUCUUCAAGGCAGCAGAACCACUGAGCUAAAUCCCUGGCACUUUGUAUAAUUUAUGGUUACCAGCUAUCCAACAAAGCCAUGAAACCUUCAGAAUUGCUUCACCACAUGGAAUCCCAGCACCCCACAACUAAAGACAAGACUUUGGAGUUUUUCAAAAGAGAAAAAAAAACACAUGAACAUGAAGAACAGAGACAAUCACUGAAGGCCACCACUUCAUCAAAUGUGUUUUUGCACUGAGGGCAUCAUUCUUAGUGGCUAACUGCAUCGCUAAAGCUAAGAAGCCCUUUCCUAUUGGUGAAGAGUUGAUCCAGCCUGCUGCUAAGGACAUUUGUCAUGAACUUCUAGGUGCAGCCACAGUUCCUAAGGCAGCAUGUCUUUCCCAUU
ensembl:lncRNA